AGAGUUUGAUCCUGGCUCAGAACAAACGCUGGCGGCGUGCCUAACACAUGCAAGUCGAACGAGAAAGGGACCUUCGGGUCCUGAGUAAAGUGGCGCACGGGUGAGUAACGCGUGGAUAAUCUGCCCUAAAGUCGGGAAUAACUCAUCGAAAGGUGGGCUAAUACCGGAUAAUGCUGCUUUCGCUAUGGCGAUGCAGCCAAAGGGGGCCUCUAUUUAUAAGCUCUUGCUUAAGGAUGAGUCCGCGUACCAUUAGCUAGUUGGUGGGGUAAUGGCCUACCAAGGCGACGAUGGUUAGCUGGUCUGAGAGGAUGAUCAGCCACACUGGAACUGAGACACGGUCCAGACUCCUACGGGAGGCAGCAGUGAGGAAUCUUGCGCAAUGGGGGAAACCCUGACGCAGCAACGCCGCGUGAGUGAGGAAGGUUUUCGGAUCGUAAAGCUCUGUCGGGUGGAAAGAAGUGCAUGGGAGCCAAUACCGCUCAUGCUUGACGGUACCACCAAAGGAAGCACCGGCUAACUCCGUGCCAGCAGCCGCGGUAAUACGGGGGGUGCAAGCGUUGUUCGGAAUUAUUGGGCGUAAAGAGCGUGUAGGCGGCUUGAUAAGUCAGAUGUGAAAGCCCUGGGCUUAACCCAGGAAGUGCAUUUGAAACUGUCUCGCUAGAGUAAGGGAGGGGGAAGUGGAAUUCCUGGUGUAGAGGUGGAAUUCGUAGAUAUCAGGAGGAACACCGGUGGCGAAGGCGACUUCCUGGCCCUAUACUGACGCUGAGACGCGAGAGCGUGGGUAGCAAACAGGAUUAGAUACCCUGGUAGUCCACGCCGUAAACGAUGUUCACUAGGUGUUGGGGGUAUUGACCCCCUCAGUGCCGGAGCUAACGCAUUAAGUGAACCGCCUGGGGAGUACGGUCGCAAGACUAAAACUCAAAGGAAUUGACGGGGGCCCGCACAAGCGGUGGAGCAUGUGGUUUAAUUCGAUGCAACGCGA
rnacentral:rRNA from 1 species